rnacentral:rRNA from 1 species
UGGGGAAUAUUGCACAAUGGGCGAAAGCCUGAUGCAGCGACGCCGCGUGAGGGAUGACGGCCUUCGGGUUGUAAACCUCUUUCAGCAGGGACGAAGCGCAAGUGACGGUACCUGCAGAAGAAGCACCGGCUAACUACGUGCCAGCAGCCGCGGUAAUACGUAGGGUGCAAGCGUUGUCUGGAAUUACUGGGCGUAAAGAGUUCGUAGGCGGUUUGUCGCGUCGUUUGUGAAAACCAGCAGCUCAACUGCUGGCUUGCAGGCGAUACGGGCAGACUUGAGUACUGCAGGGGAGACUGGAAUUCCUGGUGUAGCGGUGAAAUGCGCAGAUAUCAGGAGGAACACCGGUGGCGAAGGCGGGUCUCUGGGCAGUAACUGACGCUGAGGAACGAAAGCGUGGGUAGCGAACAGG